rnacentral:rRNA from 1 species
UGGGGAAUAUUGCACAAUGGGCGCAAGCCUGAUGCAGCCAUGCCGCGUGUGUGAAGAAGGCCUUCGGGUUGUAAAGCACUUUCAGCGAGGAGGAAGGUGGUGAACUUAAUACGUCAUCAAUUGACGUUACUCGCAGAAGAAGCACCGGCUAACUCCGUGCCAGCAGCCGCGGUAAUACGGAGGGUGCAAGCGUUAAUCGGAAUUACUGGGCGUAAAGCGCACGCAGGCGGUUUGUUAAGUCAGAUGUGAAAUCCCCGGGCUCAACCUGGGAACUGCAUUUGAAACUGGCAAGCUAGAGUCUCGUAGAGGGGGGUAGAAUUCCAGGUGUAGCGGUGAAAUGCGUAGAGAUCUGGAGGAAUACCGGUGGCGAAGGCGGCCCCCCUGGACGAAGACUGACGCUCAGGUGCGAAAGCGUGGGGCAGCAAACAGGAUUAGAUACCCUGGUAGUCCACGCUGUAAACGAUGUCGAUUUGGAGGUUGUGCCCUUGAGGCGUGGCUUCCGGAGCUAACGCGUUAAAUCGACCGCCUGGGGAGUACGGCCGCAAGGUUAAAACU